rnacentral:rRNA from 1 species
CCUACGGGUGACAGCAGUGAGGAAUAUUGGUCAAUGGACGAGAGUCUGAACCAGCCAUGCCGCGUGAAGGAUGACGGCUCUAUGAGUUGUAAACUGCUUUUAUACAGGAGUAAAACGAGGUACGUGUACCGGGUUGCAAGUAUUUUAUGAAUAAGGAUCGGCUAACUCCGUGCCAGCAGCCGCGGUAAUACGGAGGAUCCGAGCGUUAUCCGGAUUUAUUGGGUUUAAAGGGAGCGUAGACGGUUUGUUAAGUCAGUUGUGAAAGGUUGCGGCUCAACCCCAAAAUUGCAACUAAUACUGGUAGACUAGAGUAUAGUUGCGGUAGGCGGAAUGUAUGGUGUAGCGGUGAAAUGCUUAGAGAUCAGACAGAACACCGAUUGCGAAGGCAGCUUACCAAACUAUAUCUGACAUUGAGGCACGAAAGCGUGGGUAGCAAACAGGAUUAGAUACCCUUGUAGUC